AAGAUAUACUGAAAUUACACAAUGUAGUUUAUUCUAACCAUGUACCUUUGUUGCUUGAUAUUACUCUUCACAAUAUAUAGCAGCUGAAGGGAAUAAAAGCACGUGAAAUGUGACCCCUAAAUUAAUGAUAAUGUUUUAUUACAGUUAGAGGUAGUAGGCAAUAGUAGGAUAGUAGGAAUAGUAGCCAGUAAUACAGUGUAUUUUCUCUCUGUUUUGAGGAGCUGGAGCAUAUACUUGUACAAACUAUGUACAGGGAUAUUUUGUGAAAGGUGGAGGAUGCAUGCAAUCCUGUCAGAGUGGUCAUUACCUUGAUCAUGCUACUAAUUUGGAUGCAGAAGUUGCUAAAGAUGCAAUGCCUACUGUGUGGAUUGUAGCAGUCAAGGAGACAAAACCCUACAAGUUGACCAAGCCGCUAUAACCUAGGCUCUGGUGUCUGCAUAGUGGGGACAGUCUGCAAGGGUGGGAGCAAGACCAGGUUUUCUCGACACCACAUUGAAACUUCUUGAUUUCAUGAAUUCAGAAUAGAUCCUUAAAUCAUUAAAUUAAAUCUAAACAGAUCUUUAAAUCAUUAAAUU
rnacentral:lncRNA from 1 species